rnacentral:rRNA from 1 species
AGUGAACGCUGGCGGUAGGCCUAACACAUGCAAGUCGAACGGCAGCACAGUAAGAGCUUGCUCUUACGGGUAGCGAGUGGCGGACGGGUGAGGAAUACAUCGGAAUCUACUUUUUCGUGGGGGAUAACGUAGGGAAACUUACGCUAAUACCGCAUACGACCUACGGGUGAAAGCAGGGGAUCUUCGGACCUUGCGCGAUUGAAUGAGCCGAUGUCGGAUUAGCUAGUUGGCGGGGUAAAGGCCCACCAAGGCGACGAUCCGUAGCUGGUCUGAGAGGAGGAUCAGCCACACUGGAACUGAGACACGGUCCAGACUCCUACGGGAGGCAGCAGUGGGGAAUAUUGGACAAUGGGCGCAAGCCUGAUCCAGCCAUACCGCGUGGGUGAAGAAGGCCUUCGGGUUGUAAAGCCCUUUUGUUGGGAAAGAAAAGCAGCAGGUUAAUACCCCGCUGUUCUGACGGUACCCAAAGAAUAAGCACCGGCUAACUACGUG